rnacentral:rRNA from 1 species
GACGAACGCUGGCGGCGUGCUUAACACAUGCAAGUCGAACGGAAAGGCCCUGCCUUUGUGCGGUGCGCGAGUGGCGAACGGGUGAGUAACACGUGAGUAACGUGCCAUUGACUUUGGGAUAACUUAAGGAAACUGGGGCUAAUACCGCAUAGGAUCUCUUGCUGCAUGGUGGGGGCGGGUAAGUUUCGGCGGUUGGGGAUGGACUCGCGGCUUAUCGGCUUGGUGGAGGGGUAGUGGGUUACCAAGGCUUUGACGCGUAGCCGGCCUGGUAGGGGGAGCUGCUCCGUUGCGCUUGGGCUGAGGCACGGCCUCGACCGGUACGCGGCGGUGGAGUAUAUUGCACUGUGGGCGGGGGGCUAAUGCAGUAACGCCGUGCGCGGGGUGUGGGCCAGCGGGUUGUGUAGCGCUUUUGCCUUACACGAGGCGUUAGUGACGGUACCGGGUGAAUAAGCUCCGGCUAACUACGUG